CCUACGGGAGGCAGCAGUGAGGAAUAUUGGUCAAUGGACGAGAGUCUGAACCAGCCAAGUAGCGUGAAGGAUGACUGCCCUAUGGGUUGUAAACUUCUUUUAUAAAGGAAUACAACGAUGCACGUGUGCCUUUUUUCAUGUACUUUAUUAAUAAGGAUCGACUAACUCCGUGCCAGCAGCAGCGGUAAUACGGAGGAUCCGAGCGUUAUCCGGAUUUAUUGGGUUUAAAGGGAGAGUAGAUGGGUUGUUAAGUCAGUUGCGAAAGUUUGCGGCUCAACCGUAAAAUUGCAAUUGAUACUGUCAGUCUUGAGUACAGUUGAGGUAGGCGGAAUUCGUGGUGUAGCGGUGAAAUGCUUAGAUAUCACGAAGAACCCCGAUUGCGAAGGCAGCUUACUAAACUGUGACUGACAUUGAUGCUCGAAAGUGUGGGUAUCAAACAGGAUUAGAUACCCCAGUAGUC
rnacentral:rRNA from 1 species